rnacentral:rRNA from 1 species
UUAGAGUUGAUCCCNGGCUCAGGACGAACGCNGGCGGCGUGCNUAAUACAUGCAAGUCGAGCGGAUCUUCAUUAGCUUGCUUUUGAAGAUCAGCGGCGGACGGGUGAGUAACACGUGGGCAACCUGCCUGUAAGACUGGGAUAACUUCGGGAAACCGGAGCUAAUACCGGAUAAUCCUUUCCCUCACAUGAGGGAAAGCUGAAAGACGGUUUCGGCUGUCACUUACAGAUGGGCCCGCGGCGCAUUAGCUAGUUGGUGAGGUAACGGCUCACCAAGGCCACGAUGCGUAGCCGACCUGAGAGGGUGAUCGGCCACACUGGGACUGAGACACGGCCCAGACUCCUACGGGAGGCAGCAGUAGGGAAUCUUCCGCAAUGGACGAAAGUCUGACGGAGCAACGCCGCGUGAACGAUGAAGGCUUUCGGGUCGUAAAGUUCUGUUGUCAGGGAAGAACAAGUACCGGAGUAACUGCCGGUACCUUGACGGUACCUGACCAGAAAGCCACGGCUAACUACGUGCCAGCAGCCGCGGUAAUACGUAGGUGGCAAGCGUUGUCCGGAAUUAUUGGGCGUAAAGCGCGCGCAGGCGGUUCCUUAAGUCUGAUGUGAAAGCCCCCGGCUCAACCGGGGAGGGUCAUUGGAAACUGGGGAACUUGAGUGCAGAAGAGGAGAGCGGAAUUCCACGUGUAGCGGUGAAAUGCGUAGAGAUGUGGAGGAACACCAGUGGCGAAGGCGGCUCUCUGGUCUGUAACUGACGCUGAGGCGCGAAAGCGUGGGGAGCGAACAGGAUUAGAUACCCUGGUAGUCCACGCCGUAAACNAUGAGUGCUAAGUGUUAGAGGGUUUCCCCCCCUUUAGUGCUGCANAAACGCAUUANCACUNCCCCUGGGAGUNCGNCNCAAGGUUAAACUCAAG